rnacentral:rRNA from 1 species
UACGUAGGGCGCGAGCGUUGUCCGGAAUUAUUGGGCGUAAAGAGCUCGUAGGCGGCCUGUUGCGUCCGCUGUGAAAUCCCUCGGCUUAACCGGGGAACUGCGUCUGAUACUGGAUGGCUUGAGGUUGGGAGAGGGAUGCGGAAUUCCAGGUGUAGCGGUGAAAUGCGUAGAUAUCUGGAGGAACACCGGUGGCGAAGGCGGCAUCCUGGACCAAUUCUGACACUGAGGAGCGAAAGCCAGGGGAGCAAACGGG